CUUGUAUAGACGUCAUCCCCAAUUUAUGUCUUAGACAAUGGGCUGGCCUCAGUAUCCAGAUUUUGCACUGGAUUUUCUGCGUUUGAAAUUGGAUUUCCUGCUACGGGUUCGGAGCGAUUCUUCGAGCAAUUGGCGCGUACUUCCAUAACUUGUCUCUACUCUCUACAACCAAAGUCUCGGAAAGGUAAGCUCGUUUGCACAGUAUCUAAAGGCAAAGCAAUUGUUUAAUUGAACCUUGUUGCUGCACUUGUGUUUGUUGUUGUCGUCAAUACUUCAAAAUAGGGCUGGAUUCGGUACUAAACCGAUCCAUUUUUCCCCAAACCGUUGCCGAACCGACCUCCUUCGGUAUCAGAAUUUUCAAACCGCCACCGAGCCGACAUAGUCGGUAUACCGACGGUCGGCAAACCGAAUUUUCGGUUGGUAUCGUUCGGUUUUGCUGCCGGAAAUCAAAGGAGGCCCAAUUGGUCGCGGGUGUCUGACUGACGGAGGUUGUUGCGGUAGAAGCACAUCACAUCUAAGCAGCCAUCGAAGAUUCAGAUCUCAUCUGGAGUUUCCCUUGGAGAUGACUAGAUGAGGACGAAGUGAUGAUACUGAUAAUGGAGAAAAGUAGGAGAUGAAGGAAAUAGAGGAAGAGGAAGAUGAAAGAACUGGAAGAAAGCAAAAGCAAUGGGACAAGAACUGAUGCAGAUUCUGGAAAAAAAAAAGAAACUGAAGGAGAUGAAAGAUGAGGAUGAAUAGGGAGAAGAAAGUGAUGGAGAUGAUGAAAGAGAAUGGUUUCUGACUUUUGGGAUUGAUGGACCCGAUGAGGUCUUUUUGUUUUUUGUUCUUUUAAUUGUAUUAGGUUAAGAAUGAAUAAAUAUAAUAAUUGUACCACAUAUAAUAAAACCAACUUGUGCUCUAGUGGUUGAGAGCUGAGUUGCGGA